CAUUCUAAUCUACUGAUCUAAAGUCUAUGCUUAGACCUACAUGAUUAUGAAAUUUAUUUAACCUGAAGCUAUUGAAUUGUGACAAUUUGUGAUGACUAGGCCUAUAUUGUUAGGUAGAGAUAGAUCUAGGUGUUGAAAGUUAUUGCCAACUUAUUGGACAUUGGUAAUGCUUCGCCAAAGUAUGGCAAGCCAGUGUUUCCAUGCAUACAACAGAUGUACUGUAAUGGCACUGACAGAUGACAUUCAUUAAUUUCCCAAUCAUGUCUUUCCAGAUAAGGAUUUUGAAAAAAAAAAUCUCACACACAGUUAUGUUGUGGAUCACUUUGAACUGGGUCAUCACUAUUAAAUUCAUAAUGACAUUUGAGUGAUGUGUGUCAAAGAUUUCUACAAUACAAAAAUGUGCCUAAUCCUGGUAGAUGAAAGAGGUUUGUGUAAUGGCUGACAUUUGGACACUUCCCAGCUGCGUGGCCUGUUUGUCCACACUUAUAGCAGAUUGAUGCUCGGCCAGGCAACACCACCAGGAUGACAUGAAUAACAAAGUGCAGGGAUGUGAAGUGUUUUUGUAAAAGUUAUAAAAGAUGAGUUACUUACCCUUGAUAACAGAAUUCCUCAAUUGGCAGGAAUGUUAUUGGAAUUUCCUUCACAAAUGGAAUUCACAGUUCACAGUCCUAUUCUUCACUCACUUUGAAAUGUCAGUCUUUUAUUUGAACAAAUAUUCACUUCGGCGCAUCACAAGUUACAGAAACAGAACUGAAAAAGGACCCAUCAAAAAAGUUGAGUCUUUAUGCUAAAAGAAGUUAUUCCAGUUUUACAGUCCAUCACUAUUGUACCAUCGAAUUAAAUUGCUCAAAAUAUUUUAGCUUGAAAAACUGUCCAUGAUCUAAUCAUACUUGAAUAUUCUUAAAGAAUUUUAGCAUAAAUUAAUAUUUUUAAAAUAAAUUAAUUAAAACGACGGCUUGUUUAUUUAAAACUCGAAAAAUCUGCCAUAAUCUUUACAAAUAUAACUCUUGGCUGACCCAUUACAAUAUGGAUGACAAUGUGUUCAAAGCUUCAGCUUGUUUAAGAAAAUAAUGAUGUGUGAGGAUGGUUGAUUUUUUAAGUAAUAAAAAGCAUAAUUACUAAUAAAAAUGUCUUGAAGUUUGUUUUGAGUAAUAGGAAUAAAUAAACUAUAAAUUUAUUUCAUUUUUAAAUUCAUACCCUGAAGAUU